rnacentral:rRNA from 1 species
GCAAGAAGACCCUAAGAAUUUUAAAAAUAGUAAUUUUUAGUUUCAAAGAAUGCUAUUUUUUAGUUGGGGCAACUAAGAAAUAUUAUAAACUUUUUUAAAAUAAAAUGAUCCAUUAUUAAUGAUUAUUUGAAAAAAUACUCUAGGGAUAACAGCGUAAUAAUUUUUGAUAGAACAUAUAGACAAAAUAGUUUGCGACCUCGAUGUUGGAUUAGGAUACUUUUUUAAUGAAGAUGUUAAAAAAAGAAGUUUGUUCAACUUUUAAAGUCCUACUUGAUCUGAUUUC